AGCAGCCGCGGUAAUUCCAGCUCCAAUAGCGUAUAUUAAAGUUGUUGCAGUUAAAAAGCUCGUAGUUGAAUUUCGGGAUCAUCAGGUUGGUCGUGCCUCUGGUAUGUACUGAUUUCGAUGGUUCCUCCUUCUUGAAGAACCGUAAUGCCAUUAAUUUGGUGUUGCGGGGAAACAGGACUGUUACUUUGAAAAAAUUAGAGUGUUUAAAGCAGGCAAUCGCUUGAAUACAUUAGCAUGGAAUAAUGAAAUAGGACGUUCGAUCCUAUUUUGUUGGUUUCUAGGAUCGACGUAAUGAUUAAUAGGGAUAGUUGGGGGCAUUAGUAUUCAAUUGUCAGAGGUGAAAUUCUUGGAUUUAUUGAAGACUAACUACUGCGAAAGCAUUUGCCAAGGAUGUUUUCAUUAAUCAAGAACGAAAGUUAGGGGAUCGAAGACGAUCAGAUACCGUCGUAGUCUUAACCAUAAACUAUGCCGACUAGGGAUCGGAUGAUGUUAAUUUUUAAUGACUCAUUCGGCGCCUUAC
rnacentral:rRNA from 1 species